UCGAGGAGUUUCCGGUGCAGCACAGGACGGAGCGGUAGCAGAAAGUCGUCUGCCCGUGAUUUAUCCGAUUCGAAGUUAAUUACUGAAGAAUUAACUGAGGCACAACGCCGAUAGUGGAUACUGCUGUGUGUAAGAAGCAUUCUUGGGACCGGAGCUGUGUUACUCGCCAGGAAGCGAGUGUUUUUCUGCAAAAAGAGCCCACGCACUUGGCCAUCGUCCCGAAUACCACCGCGACAACACGAACAUCAUACCAACUCAAUUGAGCUGCCUUGUACGAAUCGCGUUGGGUUGGAACUCGAAGGAAGAGUGUGAAUCCUGGCAAGAGCUCCGCGAUAAUCCGUUGCUGCCAAACGCACAUUCUCGUGUAUUAUCCCGUGAUAAAAAACGAGCCUUCCCAGUGAAGGCUCUUUUACACGGGAUUUCCUGCACGCAUAUCAUCCAGCAAAGCCACACCAUACGGAGGGAGCAGACCGGAUCGCACGUUUCCGGGAUACAAGGCAGCGCACAAUUGAAGGCUGUGAGACCACUUGCAUGAAGACUAAUCCACGGUCGAGGGCCAUUUUCCUUCCCGGAUAAGCACCACUGAUUUUGAUCGACGUCACAAACGCAGUAGUGCAUAUCAGCCAGAGAAGCAGUAAGGCUUGUGGUUUCAGACGAUUGCGGCACCACUAAACAAGGAGACCAUCUACUAGCAGAGCGAUCGCACGUUCCCAAUCCCGCUCACCGGAAAACAACCAGUCUGCCUGAGAGGAACCAGUAUAGUGUGUGUAUUGGCGUGAGUAGGCGACACCGUCAGGUCCUUGGAUGACAAUUUCCCAAGGUUGCUGGCAGCAUCCCGAGCAAGGGAAUAAGUGAUUACACACGUGACACACAUGCGCCCAGUAUAACGCGCCAUCGAUCAUCGGCGCUUUCGAAUCAUCGCUGCAGUACGGGGCCCCGCAACGUUCAUCAGCAGCGGAUCAAGGUUAGAUUAAUUAGGCUUAGCUUUAAGAAACGAAAAUGUCAAAAUUUUGCCAACAUAAAUGUCAUUCUUCGAGUUGUCUUAGUUCUUGGCGUGCUAUAUUGACUGAGCGCGACCUCAUGGAAGUGAGACAUGCCUAGCCGGGCACAGACUUUGAGUGCUAGAGGUCACCCACACUCAAUGUAUAUUUUGCCACCUUUUGUCGUACGGUAGAGCAACUAUUAUUAAUAAAUGCCGUAACUAAA